GACGAACGCUGGCGGCGUGCUUAACACAUGCAAGUCGAACGGUAAGGCCCUUCGGGGUACACGAGUGGCGAACGGGUGAGUAACACGUGGGUGAUCUGCCCUGCACUUCGGGAUAAGCCUGGGAAACUGGGUCUAAUACCGGAUAGGACUCCGGACUGCAUGGUCUGGGGUGGAAAGCUUUUGCGGUGUGGGAUGGGCCCGCGGCCUAUCAGCUUGUUGGUGGGGUGAUGGCCUACCAAGGCGACGACGGGUAGCCGGCCUGAGAGGGUGACCGGCCACACUGGGACUGAGAUACGGGCCAGGCUCCGACGGGAGGCAGCAGUGGGGAAUAUUGCACUAUGGGCGCAAGCCUGAUGCAGCGACGCCGCGUGAGGGAUGACGGCCUUCGUGUUGUAAACCUCUUUCAGCAUCGACGAAGCGAAAGUGACGGUAGGUGCAGAAGAAGGACCGGCCAACUACGUGCCAGCCGCCGCGGUAA
rnacentral:rRNA from 1 species